GGGACUCGCUAGCUCUGUGAGGAGAUGUGUGAUUCCUCAGCUGGAGUGGGCUUGGAACAGGUGAGGGUCACAUGCCUCAUCAAGCCCAGUUGCUGCAAUCAGCAGGCAAAGUAGGCCAGGGAAGCAGAGCUGAGGGGCUGGGUCUGCUCAGCUGUCCAUGAUACUCCAGGAUCUGAGGGACUGUGCUUCACUUUGGACUUCGGACACUUGGAUGGACCCUAGACUGGGGACUUGGCAUACUGACUUGCUGCCAGGUAGGCCAGGGGAUCAGGGCAAUAUGGCCUUUUAAAUGGGGAGGGGGGCUACUGUUUUUGUUUGUUACCAUAUUGUGUAAUUUUGUGUUUCUAUGUUGUAAAAUGCCCUGUGAUCCUUGGAUGGUUGUGGUAUAGCAAUUUAACGAAUAAAUAAUUGCCAGAAAUGAUGGGAGUUGUAGUUCAAAGAUAUCUGGGGACUCAAGUUUGGGAAAAGUUAUCCUACUGGUUGUAGUUGUAGUUGCGGAAGGACCUGCAAGCUGGGCAAAGACACUAGAUUCAAGAAGGUUUGUUUUGAAUAUUUGUUCCCAUUCCAAAUAGGUUGUUCAACUGGGCUACCUUAGGUAGUUCUCUUCUGAAGGUCAUGUUUAUCUGCUUCAUAACACAGCUGGCAUCUGUGUAUCUGUGUUUGCUUAAUUCAUUGUUUACCUUUCGAUGAUUUCAUUCUCCUGCUUGUUUUGUGCAACAUGGUUCAGUGGCCCCGACCUAGAAGUCACGUGAGCCGAAUUGAUCUGGAAUGUACAUGAAGGCGCUUACAUGUGGGUUGUAUUUCCGAGCCCACAUGUAGGAAAAUGAAAAUAUGUGGUGAUUAAUGAUAAUUGGAAAAGAUAGGUAUCAAUGUUUCCAGUCUGUGAUAGAAAGCUCAGAGAGAAAAAAUUAAGAAGCGCCCUGUGUUUCUGAGAUCUGAUUAUAUGGAUAAUGUGUGAAGAAUGGGCUAGGAAGCAAGAAAAAGAGAAAUUGCUGGACAAAAAUCUGUAACGUGCCCCCAUUAGUGUGUCUCUUCUAUGCCUUUGCAUCAUUUUCCACCUGAUAUGCUUUUUCACUCUUUGGACCAUUAACCAAGAAGUCAAUGAAAGUAGUUCCUAGAAGAAGGUAUAGAAGCAUAGAAACCUUAGGGUGUGGGGAGUAGGCAUUUUUCGUCACUGUCCCCCAAUUCGUUCAGCCACUCUCCAAAUAAAGAGCCCAUUUAACUACACCACACCCAUUGGAAGCAAAAGAUCUAAUUCUGCCUGGCUGCCAGGUAUUCUCUAUAUGGUCACUACUGCACAUUUAAAGAGCAGCCAUUGCAGCAGUGACAUCAGAUGCAGUAGCAACAGCAGCAACAUCUAAGACCUGGAAAGAGGAACCAGUGUUCCUACUUUGCCUUAUCUUAUGUUUACUAUAUAUACAUUUUUUGCUUAUUGUCAGCCUUCUUCACAGCCUGUUGUCUGGUAUUUUAAAUAGAUGCAUAGCCAAAAACAAUCUCUUUGGAUCUCCUCAGCGUUUUCUCUCCCUGAAGAAAGAGGAAUAAGUAGCAGAAAGGAUGACUAACACACAACAUAGCUUCGGAAGCGAGGGAAGAUGAUCAUGGAAAGAAGCAAAGUGAUGUUCCCUUUUGGCAAAAGGCAGGUUAAAAGGGGAUUUGCGUUUUAAGCCUGUGAUGUGCAACCAGCAUGGGAAGAUGUUCUGGUGCAACCCUCUUAAAAACAUGGUGAUGAAGUUUCCACAAAUGCAGUUCCUGUCAGAAAACAAAGAUUGUGUAAUUUGUAUUCUUUGGAAAGAGGAGCAAUUAAAAAAAAAAGUGGAACUGGGAUAAAAGCUCAUUCUCACCCUCUCUUCCCCAUCGUCACAGCCAUGGCUAGGCAAAGCCCCCUGAGAAAUUUGACUAGUAUCAAAACUGUUGUUGAGCUCUCUCAUAAUUCUACAUGUCUGUAUAAGCUGUUUCUUACACACUGCUUGGUUUAGUAAUCAUUGCAGUUUCUUACUUGGCCUCUGGGAUCAUUUAUGGGCAUCUGAUGAAAUGUAAGAAGGAAUGCAGACCUAUUUUGAACAUCAAAACUACUUGUUUGUGGGGUGUUUUGUAAGACUUCUACGGAUCCUAGGCGGGGUCAAAUCUCUUUUCUGCCUAAAUAGGACUGACUGAAAGAGUCUUUGUGAAGCUAGCCCUUUUGGUAAACAUGACAUCACCCCUCAAUGUCAUAAAUCUCCUGAUUCAGGACAAGAACCAACUAGUUUAUAGUCUUGCUUGCAGAGGCACCAGCAUUUCAAACAAAGUUAAAAGCUUUCUGCUAGACUAUGAUGCAACACUGGCUGCCACAAUUCAAAUGCACACAUAAGCGGGAAUCACUCAGCACAUUUGUGUCAAAGCAAGAAAACCGGGGGAGCUUUGAUUUAAUAAAUAACACAAUGUCAUUAUUAUUGUGGUUAAUAGGGAAAUUUAUCUGAGGGUGGCAGAUGCGGGAAGUCUUUUUAAUGUGGAGAAGUUUUUUUAACCAAGUAAACCUAUCAAAAUAAUCCUGUACCACAGUUUCAAUUACUAAAUGCCAUCUGCCCUCAUCCAAAGUCCUGUUAUGCACUGUGAGGCAGACACAGAAUUCUUUUAUGUUUUGUUUCCCCACUAACUUCAGUGGAGAGGGUGACUGAGGGCAUAAAGGGAUGUAUAAAACAUAAACUUAAAGAACCCCUGACAGUUAAGUCCAGUCACAGACGACUCUGGGGUUGCGGGGCUUAUCUUGCUUUACUGGCCGAGGGAGCUGAUGUUUGUCCGCAGACAGUUUUUCCAGGUCAUGUGGCCAGCAUGACUAAGCCACUUCUACUCCUGCUGAAAUGGUUUGGGGAAAUGACAGCAUUUUACCCCAAUCUACACUGAAUUUUCCAUUUACAUAGGCGUAUUAAAUUAAAAUGGAGCACCCAUACAUGGCAGGAUUUGGUUUGCAUUUGUGUGCACAAAUCACUUCCUGGGGUGAUUCAUUAGUGUGCAUGUGUUUAUCAUGGAACCUAUAACAUGCUUUCAUGUUUCCUGUGACGAGAGAGGAGGCCUGGAUUAGUUGUACUUUCACUGAUUGCUGCUGCCUUUCUUAACACGGCGGUCUGGAUUUUUGUGAAGAAAACCCAUCAAAGGAAAUUGUUGCUGCUGUGCAGUAUGUGGCAGAGAAAAGCUGCAGAUUACAUUCUAUUUCCCGACUCCUUUGCAGUUUUCUCUGUGUGCCUGGAGGCACCUGCUCCUUCUGACCGUCUCUUCUGUUCCUCCUGGAAUCUUAGGAACAUAGAAUUAUAUGAAUGGAAGUAUCCAAAGGGUCACCACACCCAUAAUCCUCCUCCAACCAGCACCCACAACCCCUACGGUGUGGGCAGCUGCUGCUUCUGCCACCAUUAACCACGUGAGCCACCCUGCCAUGUCCACAUCAGCUUGACAGAGCAGAGUAAAAAAAAAUUUAAAAAAAGAUUCACACAAAAAUCUUCAUCACUGGCACGGCACACAACAUUCAGAAUAGGGGAUUUGUAGAGGACCAGUUAGGACACCGCUCUGUCUUUGGGAAGAGGUUUAAAAAGAGGACAUCUGGACAUCCUUGGCAUGAGCUCUGGAAGGGGGAGAAAAUGUGAAACCUCCUUAUGCUUUCUCUCUCACUUCUUCUGCUGGAAGCGUAGAGCAGCCUUUGGGGGAAUUUCAACCCAAAUUUAGAGGAGUAAGAGAGAGAGGCUUCAAAAACAUAGCCUUUAAUGUAGAAGAUCAUUACGGACAUUCCCACAUUCAG